CAUCCCUCACCUACUCCGUAUGCUGGAUCAUGACUGCCCAUGAGAGUGACAUGUGAGGGGGAGGAAGAAAAGAGGCAGGAGCCAGAGGCAGAAACAGUCGCACAAGUACAUGACAGCAGGAAUUUCAGCAGCAUGCCUCAAAUGAAAUCUCUCUACAGGAAAGAAUGGGUGAGGUUUGGCUAAAUGUGCUACAUACAGAAGAUGUGUCGCCUCUGUAAGUUCUGGGGUCAGACCCACCCACCAGCCUCCACAGCAGCAGACCUGGCUCCAAGGGCAGGAGAGUCUUGGGGGAAUAGCUGCAGCCACAUGAAGUCACCUCAUUGGCUUUGCAGUGAAACAUGAGGACACAGCUGCAUGUCAUUGGUUUUAAAAGUGCAUCAGAGUGAAAUGUUAUUAAAGCCUUAUAAGACUA